CUCGGGCGCAGGGCGCCGCCGCCAGGGCUCUAGGCGCUGACUCCAUGGCCGGCUUGCAGGUCCCGAACUCCGCCUCGGGCCAGGGCCCAGGGGGCCGCCGGAGGUCCUGGGCCGAGCUGCUGGCGGGAAGGCUCAAGAGGCAGAAAUGCAAUCCUGAAAGGGCACAGAAAUUAAAGGACUCAGCCGUGCGCCUCCUGCGAAGCCACCAGGACCUGACUGCCCUGUUGCUUGAGGUAGAAGGUCCACCGUGUAAAAAAUUGUCUCUCAGCAAAUUGAUUGACUGUGACAGUUCUGAGAUCUAUGCUAAUCAUUCUAGUUCCUUUAUAGGCUCUACUUUGCAGGAUCAGGCCUCAAGGCUGGGGGUUCCCGUGGGUGUUCUCUCAGCCGGGAUGGUUGCCUCCAGCGUGGGACAGGUCUGCACAGCUGCAGCGGAGACCAGUCACCCUGUGCUGCUGACUGUGGAGCAGAGAAAGAAGCUGUCUUCCCUGUUAGAGUUUGCUCAGUAUUUACUGGCACACAGUAUGUUCUCCCGACUUUCCUUCUGUCAAGAAUUAUGGAAAAUACAGAAUUCUUUGUUGCUUGAAGUGGUGUGGCAUCUUCAUGUACAAGGCAUCGUGAGCCUGGAAGAGCUGCUGGAAAGCCAUCCCGACAUGCAUGCCGUGGGAGCAUGGCUCUUCAGGAAUCUGUGCUGCCUUUGUGAACAGAUAGAAGCAUCCUGCCAGCAUGCCGACGUCGCCAGGGCCAUGCUUUCUGAUUUUGUGCAAAUGUUUGUUUUGAGGGGAUUUCAGAAAAACUCAGAUCUAAGAAGAACUGUGGAGCCUGAAAAAAUGCCGCAGGUCGCGGUUGAUGUACUGCAGAGAAUGCUGAUUUUUGCACUUGACGCUUUGGCUGCUGGAGUACAAGAGGAGUCCUCCACUCACAAGACCGUGAGGUGCUGGUUCGGCGUGUUCAGUGGACACAUGCUCGGCAGUGUCAUCUCCACAGAUUCUCCGAAGAGGUUCUUCAGUCACACGUUGACUCAGAUACUCACUCACAGCCCUCUGCUGAAAGCAUCUGAUGCUGUUCAGAUGCAGAGAGAGUGGAGCUUUGCGCGGACGCACCCUCUGCUCACUGCACUGUACCGCAGGCUCUUUGUGAUGCUGAGUCCAGAGGAGUUGGUUGGCCAUUUGCAAGAAGUUCUGGAAACGCAGGAGGUUCACUGGCAGCGAGUGCUCUCCUUAGUAUCUGCACUGGUUGUCUGCUUUCCAGAAGCGCAGCAGCUGCUUGGAGACUGGGUGGCGCGUUUGAUGGCCCAGGCAUUCGAGAGCUGCCAGCUGGACAGCAUGGUCACUGCGUUCCUGGUUGUGCGCCAGGCAGCACUGGAGGGCCCCUCUGCGUUCCAGUCAUAUGCAGACUGGUUCAAGGCCUCCUUUGGGAGCACGCGAGGCUACCAUGGCUGCAGCAAGAAGGCACUGGUCUUCCUGUUUACGUUCUUGUCAGACCUUGUGCCUUUUGAGUCCCCCCGGUACCUGCAGGUGCACAUUCUCCACCCUCCCCUCGUUCCCAGCAAGUACCGCUCCCUCCUCACAGACUACAUCUCAUUGGCCAAGACACGGCUGGCCGACCUCAAGGUUUCUAUAGAAAGCAUGGGACUCUAUGAGGAUUUGUCAUCAGCUGGGGACAUUACUGAGCCCCACAGCCAAGCUCUUCAGGAUGUUGAAAAGGCCAUCAUGGUGUUUGAGCAUACGGGGAAAAUCCCAGUUACCGUCAUGGAGGCCAGCAUAUUCAGGAGGCCUUACUACGUGUCCCACUUCCUCCCUGCCCUGCUCACACCUCGAGUGCUCCCCAAAGUCCCUGACUCCCGUGUGGCGUUUAUAGAGUCUCUGAAGAGAGCAGAUAAAAUCCCCCCAUCUCUGUACUCCACCUACUGCCAGGCCUGCUCCGCUGCUGAAGAGAAGCCGGGAGAUGCAGCUCUGGGAGUGAGGGCAGAACCCAGCUCUGCUGAGGAGCCCCUGGAACAGCUCACGGCUGCACUGGGAGAGCUCAGAUCCUCCAUGACAGACCCCAGCCAGAGUGACGUUAUAUCGGCACAGGUAGCAGUGAUUUCUGAAAGACUGAGGGCUGCCCUGGGCCACAAUGAGGAUGACAGCAGCGCUGAGAUAUCAAAGAUUCAGCUCAGCAUCAACGCGCCGAGACUGGAGCCACGGGAAUACACGGCUGUGGACCUCCUGCUGACGUCUUUCUGUCAGAACCUGAUGGCAGCCUCCAGUGUCGCUCCCCCGGAGAGGCAGGGCCCCUGGGCUACCCUCUUCAUGAGGACCAUGUGUGGAUGCGUGCUCCCUGCAGUGCUCACCCGGCUCUGCCAGCUGCUCCAUCACCAGGGCCCAAGCCUGAGUGCCCCACAUGUGCUGGGAUUGGCUGCCCUGGCCGUGCACCUGGGUGAGUCCAGGUCUGCGCUCCCGGAGGUGGAUGUGGGUCCUUCUGCCCCUGAUGCUGGCCUUCCUGUCCCUGCACUCUUUGACAGCCUCCUGACCUGUAGGACGAGGGAUUCCUUGCUCUUCUGCCUGAAAUUUUGUACAGCGGCAAUUUCGUACUCUCUGUGCAAGUUUUCUUCCCAGUCACGAGAUAUUUUGCACAGCUGCUUAUCUCCAGGCCUUAUUAAAAAGUUUCAGUUCCUUGUGUUCAGAUUGUUCUCAGAGGCCCGACAGCCUCUUUCUCAAGAGGACGCAGCCAGCCUUUCCUGGAGACCCUUGUACCUUCCUUCCGCAGACUGGCAGAGAGCUGCCCUCUCUCUCUGGACACACAGAACCUUCCGAGAGCUGUUGAAAGAGGAAGAUGUUCAUUUAACUUACCAAGACUGGUUACACCUGGAGCUGGAAAUUCAGCCUGAAGCUGAUGCUCUUUCAGAUACUGAACGGCAGGACUUCCACCAGUGGGCGAUCUAUGAGCACUUUCUCCCUAAGUCCUCUGCUUCAGGAGGCUGUGACGGAGACCUGGAGGCUGCGUGUACCGUUCUUGUCAACGCUCUGAUGGAUUUCCACCACAGCUCAAGGAGUUAUGACCACUCAGAGAAUUCCAAUUUGGUCUUUGGUGGCCGCACAGGAAAUGAGGACAUUAUUUCCAGAUUGCAGGAGAUGGUAGCUGACCUGGAGCUGCAGCAGGACCCCUCGGUGCCUCUCGGCCACACCCCUUCCCAGGGGCACUUCCUCUUUGGGAUUUUCUGCCGACGACUCCAGGCUCUGACAAGCGGUUGGAACGUGGCUGCCAGGCUUCAGAGACAGAGGGAGCUGCUCAUGUACAAACGGAUCCUCCUCCGCCUGCCUUCGUCUGUCCUCUGCGGCAGCAGCUUCCAGGCCGAACAGCCCAUCACUGCCAGAUGCGAGCAGUUCUUCCACUUGGUCAACUCUGAGAUGAGAAACUUCUGUUCCCACGGAGGUGCCCUGACACAGGACAUCACUGCCCACUUCUUCAGGGGCCUCCUGAACGCCUGUCUGAGGAGCAGAGACCCCUCCCUGACGGUCGACUUCAUAUUGGCCAAGUGCCAGACAAAAUGCCCCUUAAUUUUGACCUCUGCUCUGUUGUGGUGGCCGAGCCUGGAGCCUGUGCUGCUCUGCCAGUGGAGGAGACACUGCCAGAGCCCACUGCCCCGGGAACUGCAGAAGCUGCAAGAAGGCCGGCAGUUUGCCAGCGAUUUCCUCUCCCCUGAUGCCGCCUCCCCGGCACCUAACCCGGCCUGGCUCUCAGCUGCUGCACUGCACUUUGCGAUUCAACAAGUCAGGGAAGAAAACAUCAGGAAGCAGCUAACGAAGCUGGACUGCGAGAGAGAGGAGCUAUUGGUUUUCCUUUUCUUCUUCUCCUUGAUGGGCCUGCUCUCGUCACAUCUGACCUCAAAUAGUGCCACGGACCCAUCGAAGGCUUUAGACGUUUGUGCUGCAGUCCUCGAGUGUUUAGAGAAGAGGAAGAUAUCCUGGCUGGCGCUCUUCCAGCUGACAGAGAGUGUCUUCUCUCCUGCUUCCACGACGACGCGGCCAUCAGGGAAGAGGCCUUCCUGCAUGUUGCCGUUGACAUGUACCUGAGGCUGGUCCAGCUCUUCGUGGCUGGGGACACAAGCACAGUUUCACCUCCAGCCGGCAGGAGCCUGGAGCUCCAGGGUCAGGGCAACCCUGUGGAAUUGAUAACAAAAGCUCGUCUUUUUCUGCUGCAGUUAAUACCUCGGUGCCCGAAAAAGAGCUUCUCACACAUAGCAGAGCUGCUGGCUGAUCGUGGGGACUGCGACCCAGAGGUGAGCACUGCCCUCCGGAGCCGGCAGCAGGCUGCUCCUGACGCUGACCUGUACCAGGAGCCUCAUCUCUUCUGAGAGGACCUGCCACUGCACACCAGCCCAGCUCCUUUGUAAAUAAUUUAUUACAAGCAUAACACGGAGCUCUUGUUGCACUAAAAAGUGGAUUACAAAUCUCCUCGAUUGCUUUAGUGGGGAAAAGGAAUCAAUUGUUUAUAAACUGUCUGGCCCCAAGUCACUCAGUGUUUGUAGGAAAAUAAACCACUGGUCCCAGA